GAUGAACGCUGGCGGCGUGCCUAAUACAUGCAAGUCGAGCGAACGGACGAGAAGCUUGCUUCUCUGAUGUUAGCGGCGGACGGGUGAGUAACACGUGGAUAACCUACCUAUAAGACUGGGAUAACUUCGGGAAACCGGAGCUAAUACCGGAUAAUAUUUUGAACCGCAUGGUUCAAAAGUGAAAGACGGUCUUGCUGUCACUUAUAGAUGGAUCCGCGCUGCAUUAGCUAGUUGGUAAGGUAACGGCUUACCAAGGCAACGAUGCAUAGCCGACCUGAGAGGGUGAUCGGCAACGGUGGAGAUAAACGGCGGACCAGACUCCUGGGGGAGGCAGUAGUAGGGAAUCUUCCGCAGUGGGCAGAAGGCUGACGGAGCGACGCGGCGUGGAUGAUGAAGGUCUUCGGGUAGUAAACCUCUGUUAGUGGGGAAGAACAUAUGUGUAGGUAACUGUGCACAUCUUGACGGUACCUAAACAGAAAGCCACGGCGAACUACG
rnacentral:rRNA from 1 species